UGGGGAAUCUUGCGCAAUGGGCGAAAGCCUGACGCAGCAACGCCGCGUGCGGGAUGAAUGCCUUCGGGUUGUAAACCGCUUUCAGCAGGGACGAAAAUGACGGUACCUGCAGAAGAAGCCCCGGCUAACUACGUGCCAGCAGCCGCGGUAAUACGUAGGGGGCAAGCGUUGUCCGGAUUUAUUGGGCGUAAAGAGCUCGUAGGCGGUUUCGUAAGUCGAGUGUGAAAAAUCUGGGCUCAACCCAGUGGAGCACUCGAUACUGCGAUGACUAGAGUACGGUAGAGGAGUGUGGAAUUCCUGGUGUAGCGGUGAAAUGCGCAGAUAUCAGGAGGAACACCAACGGCGAAGGCAGCACUCUGGGCCGGUACUGACGCUGAGGAGCGAAAGCGUGGGGAGCAAACAGG
rnacentral:rRNA from 1 species